rnacentral:rRNA from 1 species
UACGUAGGGUGCUAGCGUUGUUCGGAAUCAUUGGGCGUAAAGCGCGUGUAGGCGGUCAGGCAAGUCAGAUGUGAAAUCCCUGGGCUCAACCGAGGAAGUGCAUCCGAAACUGCUUGGCUAGAAGACGGUAGAGGAAGGUGGAAUUCCUAGUGUAGAGGUGAAAUUCGUAGAUAUCGGGAGGAACACCAGUGGCGAAGGCGGCGAUCUGGGAAGAUACUGACGCUGAGGUGCGAAAGCGUGGGGAGCAAACAGG